AUGUCACUAUCGAGUUUAGCCUUGGAAGUCAGAGGAGAUACCAUACCGUUUCGAGCUAAUACCUAUUUGGGUGUACGUGCAUGGGGUGUCUCAUGCUCUCGACACUUCCUGGGUCAUUGGGCGGUCGGGUCAGUGAUUGGUGCUACUCUUGACAUUGAUCUUCUCUGCUUGCGUCGGAGAGGAAUUGUUCGUAUCCAGGUAGCGGUGCUCAACCUUGAUGCUUUCAAAAGGAGCACAAUUGAUUCUCUUUUGUUCGAUGUGGUUGUUCAAGGGAAAGGUCAUGAGUUCCAGUACAGUUUGGAAAAAUCAUACUUCCGUGUUGAUAGUGAUUUUGUGCCUAUAGUCUGGGAGCACAGCGAUGAUCUAGGGAGCGACAAGGGGCAUGAUAGGGAGGAUACAGUGAGGACCAAUGAUCCAAGCAAGAGUUCCAAAUCCAGUUCACCAUCCAACAACAGCUCGGCCCCUCCUACCUCGGGCGGAGUUGUACCCAUGCAGAUGGCCAUUGCCGUCACACCGCCGAAUCCUCAUCAAGGCUUACCUGCCAAGGCUGCUUCUUCAUCAUUAAUGGGGUCUUCUUCGUCGGUGUCGGCUACUUUGUCUAACGCUGCUCCUCCGACGAUGUUGGUGCCCCGGUCCUCGAUGCCGCCAUCACCGACUCACUGGUCAGCGUCGCCGCACCUCGACGAGGGGUGUCACAUGCGUCGGGAUGGCAGCCGCGGUGGUGAAUGCGAGCGCUCCAUCGCCACCACCAUAGCCUGCCCCUGUCUCUCCAACUCGAUGGGGAGUGAUCUUCUCCCCGUCCGUUCGUGUUGGCCAGGACUCUUCCAGGGCGGAACUCCGCGUGUUAUCACCUACACCUCCGUCACCGGGGGGAGUAUCGGCUUCCGGACCCGAGGAGGCAGAGGAGCAACCCCUGCGAUCUUCUUCUUCAUCAUCGCAACAGUCUACUCCGCCUCUCGGAGUAGCAGGGACGAGCCCGGCGGCCAAUAUUACUCCUUCGCCGCUGAGGCACAGCGGGCGUCAUUACGUCGGGACUGA
rnacentral:rRNA from 1 species